AUAAAGCACUUCACUUACUAAUUUGUAGUGAAGUGCAUGCAAAGAGGAUGAGAGAGCGCGAAAUUCAAUCGCUUUUGCUAUAUAUAUCAUAUGUCGGUAGCGAUCCGAGCAACUAUUCUAUGCUUGUGAGAGAAACAGUUGCAAAACCAUGAAAUAUGUGACCAAAUAUUAAACUUUCGAGAGAAAAUGUUUAAUUAUGUGAAGUAAUCCGUUUAUUAUACUUUAAACUGCCACUUCUCAGCUUAUUCAUCUCCACAUAUUUUCUCAUUUACUCUAUAAUUACAAAGCGCACAGCGUACAGCAGAUAGUACUUAAAUCCUUUGGCAGUUAAUAGACGUGUGUAGGUAUUUUAUUGAGCCCACAAACAACAAAAGCAAGAAAAGCUAAAGUCGAAGGAGAAGGCGAUAAAUUAAAUUGCAUUUAGUGCAAUUUCAAAUGCCUUUCUAGCACAUUAUUACUCGUUCAACAAUUAUCAAACCAUUUUACCACUUAGUGUCUAAGAGUAAAAGCCAAGUAAGCUGUAAGAAACCCACACACACACAUACCUGUAGAGGAGAGUGGGUGAGCUUAGAAGCAAAUAUAUUUCUAAUAGCAUUGCCGGACAAGAGAAUUAAGGCGCAAAAAAUCCUAUCAAGAGGAGAAACACACAAGAGCAAAAAAAAAGGAUAAUGAAAUACCAAGCGCGCGCACACACACAGAACAAUAUAUACAUACAUAUACACGCAGAAGAAUAUACACAGAUAGAAGAAUAUAAUCCAUAGAGGAUAUAUCUACUCAUAGAAGACUAUACAUACUCACAGAAGACCAUACACACACACAUACAAAAAAUAGUUCACACACAAACACAGCGACUCCCCCACACAAGGCCAAGCGCUGAGCGAAUGCUUAAGUAUGUUGGAAGAAAGCCGAGUAGCAAUUACAAUUACAUUAGUGCGACUGAUAAAAACUUUAACCAGCAACCACUCGACAAUGAUAAGACCAUAGAAGUAAGGGCAGUGCGGAGAGGUGGGCAACCACUACCUAGACGUAGCGGUUUGUAGGCGAACUAAUAAAUUCUUAACUCGCUGCGGCGGCCGGCAUCUAUGGCUGUGGCUAAGUAAGGAAUUUCCUGCCUUUAACUUUAUUUGCUUCGAUUACACUUGCUUGUGGCUUCGCAAUAAAAAUUCACCCCGAAAAGCUAUCGAGCAAUUUAGCUACAACAACAAUUCAACGAAUGUUGGUGAGCAAAAGCCACUAGCGGGUAGCCGGAGUAGCAGUUGAAAGGAAAUACGGGGGCGUUGGAGCAUUGUAUCCCUAAUUUUCGUAAACCUUUAACGCAACCACGAACACACACACACACACACACACACAUAGAUGUAGCUAGACAUAGACAAAUAGACGCAGUGAUAGAAGAACCUGAGGUGUGUAUUUGUGCUUAAGACCGACAAUAAUACUUUUUACAACACAGCCUUGCUGCGGGAAAUCGCACUUAUUACAAUGAAUUAAAGCAACAACACCAGCAAAACAACCAAAAAAAGCUUUCGCAGUAAGUUGAGGGGAAAGCAUAGUCGGCUUUCAGGCGCCUACGCUAAGCAACAGGAUAGCAAUAACAAACAAGAUAGCAAUAACAAGUAGUAAGAAAGCAACAACAACAGCAAAAAACCAAGCCAGGCAACAAUGACCAUUAGUGGCUGCUCGCGCCGACAAAUACAAAUCUUAAUUAAGCAGUCUCAGUUGCAGCUUGCAAACUCUGCGCCGAGCAGCGAACAGCGAGCGCAUGCCAAGUUAGUUUAACCGCCCGCCCGUCCAGCCAACUGUCCGUCAGUUUAUGUAUUUAUUUUCUGACUUUGCGUUCACUUUGUUGCCAUUUCGUUGCUGCCGCCCCCCUCUGCAGCAACUGCAGCCGCUGUCUGUUCUCAAGAGUUUUCGCUGAGCUUUCAAGUUGCCACACAAAAGGCGCUAAGCCGUACUCAACUUGAUGGCCUCACCGAACAUAAUACACCAAUCCACCACCAGUUGAUGUGCGCGAGUGGUGUGAGUUGGAUGGAAUUGCUGUUGUCAAAUUUAAUGAGGGUUUACGCAGCAAUCGGACAAAUGUGGAACAUCUUCCUUUGCUUCAGCAGAAAAAAUAACAGUAAAAUAACUAAAUGAAAAACGCGCUCUGGUAUUUCGCAUAAAGUAAACCAUUUUACUUUUUAAGCGCCCAAAUAUUUCUGAUGUACCGCCAGCAUAUGUGUGCGGCUUUCGGUGCAAGUGUACCCAAAUGGUGUUGUUAUUUGAUAUAUUUUUGAAUAUAUGGUAAAUAAUUCGUAUAAUUUUGGUACUCACAAAAGUAAUUUUUAUAUAUUUUUUUAACUUUUUUAGCAGAGCAGAAGUGGGUAGUUCUUAAGAUUUCCGUAGAAACAUAGAAUACGGAAGGGAGAAAAUUCGCAAAGCACAAGCUAUAUAACAGAAAACAUAAAAAACCCAAAAACAUGGAAAACGUGGAAAACAUAGAACGCUAAAACAUAGAACAUCGAAAAACAUAGAAUGUGCCAAAAUAUGAAGCGCUAUAGGAAAAUGCAUAUUGUUCUUGACUAUGUGUUUUCCUUUGCUGUUUAAGGAGCAGACAGUGGAACAUGCGAAUGAGAUCAUAAGAAAAUUCGACAAGUACAGACCUUAUAACGAAAUAGUGUAACAAAAACAUAUGACAUAAGAAACAUAGAAAACAUAGAACGCUAAAACAUAGAACAUCGAAAAACAUAGAAUGUGCGAAAAUAUGAAAAUUAAAUGUUCUUGACUAUGUGUUUUCCUCUGCUGUUUAAGAAGCAGUGCUGCUUAUGAAAUUAUAGGAAAACAUCUGGUUUUAGUUACGCUUAAUUCGUUGAAAACGGUUUUCAGUUUUAUUAAAAACUUUAAGUAAACCUAAAAAUAUUUACGACUUAUCGAAAAGAAUUGCUAUUGAAAGAACAAAUACACACUUCCUGUUGUCUAGACUAGCUAACUGUCUACCUUGCGCUGCUGAUGAAAGUUUAAAAGUAUCAGCUUACGUACUACGAAAACGGAUUCACGAUUCUAGAAAUUAUUCGAGGGUCCGCGUAAAACAUUUUUGUUAACUAAAAUUAUUAUAUGAGUAAAAGGCUCUUAAGGCGACUUAAACAACUUAAAUUAUUUUUCCAGAAAAUUUCCGAUCUGAAAACAAUCAAGAGAUAAUUUACGAGCAUUUUUAAAAGAAGAGAUAGCAUAGAUUCUCAGUAGCUAUUCGGCACUACUCCAAGAAAUGGCUUUCUUCGUUGAAAGAACCUCUAACUAAGCACUUGCCAAUCCUACUAGCAUACAUACUUAUAACCCUCCGCAGCGAUUAAAAUGCCUACCAACUACAUACACACAUAAGAAUACACUUCAGCACAUUGACUUGCUUGACCUCACGCACACAUACGCAUAAAAUUUUAUUUUGCCACUAUUAACUUCACCUAACGAACAUGCAUACUUUAAGGCGUUAAACAGCGCACAUAACCACAAGUACCCAGCAGAGCUACGGCGACUUCGGGUCAACAACGCCAGUCAAAUGCUGUAAUAAACUUCUCAACGACAGUAAUUAUUUUUGCAGCUAAAUUGCGUACGCUCCGAUAAAACAAAUACACGCAUACACACUAGUAAACACUCGUACACAUGCAAACAUGGAUAGACAUGUGGUAUGAGUAGAUAUGGGUUGUGUGUGUGUGUGUAACAAGUUAUGCAAUGUAAUUAUUGCUUACACUCGCUUAUUGUUGUUGGCAGUAAAAUUAACAAUUUACGUGGAAAAUAAAGUGAUUACGCUGACCCGAAAGUGACCCGCCAGCGAGCUAAGACAAAACAAGUGGCGAGUGUGAGGCAUAAUAAAGGUUACAGGGAGUUGGAGUAAAAGUGUUGCUGAUUAUUAAGCAAUUAAGUUGUUGUAGUGGUGAUAGGGUGGGUCAGCGGUUUAAGCAUUAUUUGUGAGUUUAUGUGUACGUUGUUAGAAGCAGGCUAAACUAGAACGUUAAUUUCGGUUGCACUGAAGCUAGAAUACCCUUAAUAAAUAAAAAGACAGUGGAUAGUUAAUUUUGAAUGUUCCGUUUGUAUGGCAGCUAUAAGAUAAAGUGGUCUGAUCUAGACAAUAUCCUUGGAGAUUUUAACUUUUACUUGGAGAAUAAACCACACCAAAGUUUGUGCAGAUAUCUCGUCAAAUCAAAAACUUUUCCAUACAAGGACUUGAUUUUGAACGUUCAGUUUGUAUGACAGCUAUAUGCUAUAGUGGUCCGAUCUGAAAAAUCUCUUUAGUUUUCUUUUCAUUUCACUUGGCAAAUAAGCCGCACCAAAUUUAGUGCAGAUAUCUCGUCAAAUCAAAAACUUUUCCAUACAAGGUCUUGAGUUUGAUCAGUCAAUUAUACCUUUUACUUGGAGAAUAAACCACACCUAAGUUUGUGCAGAUAUCUCGUCAAAUCAAAAACUUUUCCAUACAAGGACUUGAUUUUGAACGUUCAGUUUGUAUGACAGCUAUAUGCUAUAGUGGUCCGAUCUGAAAGAUUUCUUCGGAGGUUAUACCCUAGCCAGAAAGCAUAAUCCAUGCCAAAUUUCUAGAAGACAUCUCAUCAAAUAAAAAAUUUUUCCAUACAAGGACUUAAUUUUCAUCGUUUAGUUUGUAUGGCAGCUGUAUGCUAUAGUAGUUGUAUAUCGGUGAUGCCGACUUAGCUCGUCAUGCUGAUAUAUUGUAUAUAUAUGUAUAGUGUUUCAUUGGAGUUCCGACGUUUCCUUCAGUUGUAACAAAUUUCGUAGCAAACUUAUAUUCCCUGUUUAAGGUAUAAAAAUUCACUUGCCUUAGUGUGAGAGAAUGAGAGUGUGUGCACUAAUGAGCGACCAAGAUAAUUCAAAAUAACUAAAAUAAAGUAACAUUACAUUUAAUUUAACGCCAGACAAUUUUAAGUUGACAAAACCGCAAGUGGAUUUUAUACACACAUACAUAUACAUAUAUGUGUGUGUGUGAAUGUGCUUAGCACAUGUAUUAUUAAAAAUUAAUUUCCCACAGCACAAGGAUCUGCUAAUAAUGAAAAUAGGCAGCAGAGUGUGAAAAGUUUGUAAUAUGUGCGAGUGUUAUUCAUUAUUUUUUAAUGCAGGCUUUAUUAUGUGGCUAUUUUGAUAUCAAACUUAAUUAAGAAAAUUCACACCAACACACAGAGAAUGCAAGAGGAGAGAGUUAUUUGUAUUUAAUUAGAGAUAACGUGCCUUUGUGCCGAAUAUGAAGCAUUACAAAAGAGUCGCACGAAAAUAGAGCAAAUGAAAAGCAGUUAUAAAUACUUAAAAAUAUAUAUUUAUGUAAUAUACACCUCUGUAAUGUACGUAUCUAUGUUCGUUUAUCACACUCGCAAUUAGCUCGUUGACCACAUGCAUAAUUCGUUUAUUAAAAACAGAAAUUGACAAAUCAUUUCUACUAUAACCGGGCGAUUUUCUAAGCAUGCAUUUUGCAAACAAAUCAAAAUGUCAGUAAAUAUAUUCAAUUGUGGUCGGAAAUAAUAAUUGAAAAUGUUGUGAAAAAACAACAACAACACGCGAGCACACGAAUGUCGGUGAGCAUGUGUCAAUAUUUGUACAAAAUGGACACGAAAAGUGGACACAAAUAGACAGCAACAAGCAUAUUUGCACGCAGACACACCGAAGCACAUACAUACAUAUGUAUAUAUAUGUAGUUGCAUUUGUGUUUGUUAAUUUAAUUAAACUUGUAUGCAUUUAUUAUUUGUUUUCUAUUUUACUUGCUGCAAAGAAUUUACAAAAGUAAUUAAGCAAAUAGAGAGCCAACACAAGCGAAAAGAAAACAUGUGUACAGACAUAUAUGUAUAUAUAUUGUAAAAUAUAUAAGCAAAAAAAUUUAAAAUCUGCAUGGCAAAACACUACAAUAGCAACAGAAAGAAAGCAAGACAACCAAACACACACAUUUUGUGAUUUUGUGGGCAACAGAGCAGAAAGGCGAAGAGCAGCAAACAAAUAGAGUAAUGAAAUUACACAGUGAUUACAAAAAAAAAAAAUAAAUAAUAAUAAUGGAAAAUAAAUAAUAGAAAUUAAAUAAUACAAACUAAGCAACAUUUGCAAAAGAGAUGCCAAACAAAUGAGUUAAAAGGCAUUCUGAGUAAUUAAUAAUAGCAGAGAACAAACAAAAGUACCCAAAAACACUACACAGUGGAAAGAAAAUGAAACAAUAAUUUGAUAGAAA